rnacentral:rRNA from 1 species
UGGGGAAUAUUGGACAAUGGGGGAAACCCUGAUCCAGCGACGCCGCGUGUGUGAAGAAGGCCUGCGGGUUGUAAAGCACUUUUAGUGGGGAUGAAAUGUUCAGGGCUAAUACCCCUGGAUUUUGACCUAACCCACAGAAAAAGCACCGGCUAACUCUGUGCCAGCAGCCGCGGUAAUACAGAGGGUGCAAGCGUUAAUCGGAAUUACUGGGCGUAAAGCGUGCGUAGACGGUUACAUAAGUCGGGUGUGAAAGCCCCGGGCUCAACCUGGGAAUUGCAUUCGAGACUGCGUAGCUAGGGUGCGGAAGAGGGAAGCGGAAUUUCCGGUGUAGCGGUGAAAUGCGUAGAUAUCGGAAGGAACACCAGUGGCGAAAGCGGCUUCCUGGUCCAGCACCGACGUUCAGGCACGAAAGCGUGGGGAGCAAACAGGAUUAGAUACCCCCGUAGUCC